GGAGGAGGGAGGCUGGUGCCCGCCGGCCUCUGAGCACAAAUCCCCCAGCAUGCAUGCAGUCCGGCCCGCCCGCAACCCGCCCCUCUCCUGCUUUCGGCCCUCCAAUUCGCGGCAGCACGGGGUAGGGGUGGGGGAUUGAAGGCACAGAAGGUGUAUUUAUAAGUGGGCGAGCUGAGUGCCCCACAUAUUCGAUUUCUGAAACACAAAUAGGGGGCGGUGGAGCUGCAGGUUACUUGGGGAAUCCGAUCGAUUGACACAUCGUUGACCCCAAAAAUCGGAAGUUUCUACCCUCAAGCAACCGGGGAUGACGCACAGAGUGAGGGAUUGCUCUCCUUUAACUGUCUGUCUGGAUUCUGGAAAAGCCCCAACUCACCCUGCGGUGGGAUCUUGAGCAACAGUCCGGAUUUUGCUCCUCGCCCCCUUCUGGCCAAGCUCAGCACUGCAAAGGAAAGUGCCUGUGCUCUGAACCAAGGACAGAUUCUCAGGGGGACAGAAAUUCACUGGAAAGCUCUCUUGCACAACCCCAAUUAAAAGUUGCUGAGCUUGUACAAUGAGUCUCUCAGCUGCUCGGUUCGCUAUUCUCUCAUCUGUGUAUGUUUGCCAAUCUGUUUCUAUCUUGCAUCAUUUACUCUGGUUUUCUUCGCCAUCAGUCUGUGUAGACAAUGCUGAGCUAGAUAGACCAAUGGUCUGACUCAGUAUAUGACAGCUUCCUAUGUUCCAAGAGACGAAGAGUUGAAGAUAAGAGACAAGAGCCUCCUGGCUUCAUUCUAAGAAUGUGGUUGAACACAUGUUGGGCUGUAAUCAACUCCCCCCUCAAAAAUGCAAAAGAAAAGCUGGCACUGUUUGCAAAAGAAUUGCAGUCUUUCCCUUCUCUGCCCCACCUUUCUCUUUCCCUCUUUGCUAUUACAAGGAUGGGGGAAGCAGCAUCACUCCGAAAUCCACCAACAUGGACACACAAGAAGGUGUUAGGUGGGAAGACCCAUAUCUCAUUCAGUAGGUCUCAACAGGGUGUGUCCUGGUGCAAGGACCCUAACUUAAGUGGGCUUCUGGAUUUCGCUCUGUGAAUGCUGGAAUCUUUGAUAAGGACAAAAAUAUCCUUCCUUAAGAUUCAGUUAUCUGAGGGGUAAUUUUGACUUUUGAGGAUACCAUAGACACCAGGAAAACAAACAAAUGGGUCAUAGAACAAAUCAAUCCAUAAUUUUCACUUGAAGCAAAAAUGACCAGGCUCAGAUUAUCAUACUUUGGACACAUUAUGCAGCUCCCUGGAGAAGUCUGUGAUGCUGGGAAAAGUUGAAGGAAAGAGAAGAAGAGAACAGCCAGCAGCAAGGUGGAUGGACUCAAUUACCACAACAGUGAACGCACCACUGAGAGACCUUAAGGGCCGAGUUGAAGACAGAUAAUCCUGGAGAAAAUCCAUCUAUGUGGUCACUAAGAGUCGACAUCGACAAUCAAUCUGAGGGGUUAUUAACUAGUGGUAAUUUGUAACUGUUUGCUAUGGUUGCUGACCAAAAUAAAGAUUCAUUUGUUCAUUCA